rnacentral:snRNA from 1 species
AGAUAGAAUCUGAUGAUAAAG